rnacentral:miRNA from 1 species
UAGGGUGACUAACAUUCAGGUUUGCCUGGGACUGAGAGAGUUCCCAGGACACCAGACUUCCAGUGCUAAA